GUACGUAGGCAGCCUUCCUUAAGGCGCAACCUUCCUUAAGGCGCAGCUACUACUACUACUACUACUACUACUACUACUACUACAUCAAAGACCAUCAUAUUUGAAGACAACACAGCCUGUAUUGCUCAACUCAAGGAUGGCUACAUUAAGAGAGACCGGACGAAGCACAUUUUGCCAAAACUCUUAUUCACUCAUGAAUUACAGAAGGACGGUCAGGUCAAAGUUUAACAGAUCCGGUCAAGUGAGAAUUCAGCCGACCUAUUCACCAAAUCAUUGCCGACUUCAACGUUCCGGAAGCUCAUUCAUCAGAUCGGGAUGCACGGACUUAAGGAUCUACAGUGAUGCUCAAAUCAGGGGGAGUAAUG
rnacentral:lncRNA from 1 species